UACAGAGGUCUCAAGCGUUGUUCGGAUUCAUUGGGCGUAAAGGGUGCGUAGGUGGCGCGCUAAGUCAGGUGUGAAAUUUCGGAGCUCAACUCCGAAACUGCAUUUGAUACUGGCGUGCUUGAGGACUGGAGAGGAGACUGGAAUUUACGGUGUAGCAGUGAAAUGCGUAGAUAUCCGGAGGAACACCGGUGGCGAAGGCGGCUUCCUGGACCGACACUGACGCUGAUGCGCGAAAGCUAGGGGAGCAAACGGG
rnacentral:rRNA from 1 species